GUUUAUCUCCAUCUGAUGUGACGGUGCUACUGCCGUUGCUUUUUUCCUUUUCACCCAAAAAACAAAAAACCCUACUCGCCACUUAAGCCUAUAAAUACUUUUUUUCUGAGGAGCUUUGGGAUUAAGUGAGGUUCAUCUCCAUCUGAUAUGGCGGAUUUACUGCCGGGAAGCUCUCUUGUGGCUCAUCCUCUUCAAUAUUUCUCCAUCUCAAGCUUUAGCAUCAAGCCUGGGGGAGUUCUCUUGGGGAUCUUUCAUGAAAUCGAAUCAACGAUCUACCAGAAGAUUAUAAAGGUGUUGGAAGGGAUUGAUUAUUUGAGCCGAUAAAUAAUCUGGAGACACCCCGGACACAUCCAGUGACAGAGCUUUCUGAGUUCUGUCAAAAGAUGAGAUUGCAGCCGCGCUUUGUAAAGGAUUCCUGGGAUGAAAAUGCUGCGGUGCCCCUUUUUUUUGGUGAUAAAUUGGUGGGGACAGCCACCUGUGAGGUCAAGAAAGAAAUUGCUCAGAAUCGGGCUGCCAAAGCUGCCUUAGAAAUUGCUCAGUUGGAGGGUUCUUGUCUUCUGAGUUUUCUUGGUCCCGGCUCUUCUGUAUACGAUGGCGGUGGAUGGUUCUUGUCUUCCUUGGCAACGUUUCAACCUUUCAAUCCCCACAUGAAUGUCGGUGGUGGUGGGGAUUUCGAGGGUUCCAAUUUGGCUCUGCUACUGGGAUACGGUCUCCCUUCUUUCACCCCUCAGCAGAAACAACCCCCACAAGUAUUCCAGAUGGGUAACAGAGAGAUGAAGCCGUUACAGGUUCUUCCUCUUAAGGAAAACCUAAGGCCUUCUAGUGGUGGAUCCCGGUGGAGGGUCUCUUGUCUCGUUUUCCUUUUCGGCAACCACCUCGGCGGUAGAGGGUCUCUUCUCCCUCUUCUCCCUCUUCUUUCUUCCCCCUCUCCUCCUCUCUCCUUCUCUGUCUUUUUGCCUGUAAGUACCCACGUGACAGAUUGGAGACAAAGAGUUCAGACGUGCCUAAAUUCGUCUGGUUUUUAAUUCUGUGAUGUAAGCUACCCUGUCAAGCAAUGUCGUCUCCUAUCCCUAACUCUCUUUAACAGUCACAAUGAUUUUUUUUUGGCAGUCAAUUUCUCAGUGUUCCAAAUCAUUUUCAGGAAAAAACCACAAUAGUAGAAAGGAUUUUUUUUUU